rnacentral:rRNA from 1 species
AGGGUUUGAUUAUGGCUCAGGACGAACGCUGGCGGCGUGCCUAACACAUGCAAGUCGAACGGGGUUACACGAGGUGCUUGCACCAUGUGGAACCUAGUGGCGGACGGGUGAGUAACGCGUGAGCAACCUGCCUUUCAGAGGGGGAUAACAACGGGAAACCGUUGCUAAUACCGCAUAAUACCGGAUGAUGGCAUCAUUGACCGGUCAAAGGAGCAAUCCGCUGAAAGAUGGGCUCGCGUCCCAUUAGGUAGUUGGUGGGGUAAAGGCCUACCAAGCCGACGAUGGGUAGCCGGACUGAGAGGUUGAUCGGCCACAUUGGAACUGAGACACGGUCCAA